rnacentral:tRNA from 1 species
UCCCUACUGGUCUAGUGGUUAGGACUUGGCGCUUUCAUCGCUGUGGUCCAGGUUCAGUCCCUGGUCUGGGAA